UUUAGAUUUAACUUCACCGAAGAGAAAGUAUGCAACAAAAAUGGUGUGUGGAUACCAAUUUAUUCCUGCGCCCAUUCUCCUCUUUGGCAACGCACGUCUCCUGCCAGUCUACCAAGAACCAUUUAGCGGAAGCCACCACGAUAGAACCCUAAUUUCUUCGCUUAAAAUUAUUGUGUUCUCCCCUUCAUCAAAUCUUGGCUUUUGCUAGAAUAUUUCUUAUUUGUUUUAAUCUCUUGCAAGCUAGAUACUUUGAGUUUGGCUGUGUCGUAUCUUCUACAAUGGAUGACCCAUUGGUCCUUCUCUCAUGCUUGGAGCUGGUUCUUCGAUUUGGGACCUUUGAUUCUGGGGUUUCUUUAGGGUUAUUGGAGUGCAUGGUUGGAAUCGAUGGACGAAUUCAUAUUUCAGGAGAUAUUGGUCCUUCUAUCAGACUUGGGGCCGUUGGUCUUUCUUCAGCAACAGCUGAAGUAUUCUUCUUUUAUUGCCUCAUGAUUCCAAAUCAGAAGGCGUUCAGUUAAGGAUAGAUUGUUGAGUGGGUCAAAACAAGUGGCUUUCUUUUGUAUAUAAAUGUAAUGUUAUUGUUUUGGUCCUUGCCAUGUUGACUUGUUUGCUUGUGUUGGGCUGAUAAUCUUGUGCCCUUCUUUUGUCCUUUCUAUUGUUUUCUUUUAAUAAUUUUUUUUUUUUUAAUUUUUCCCUAUAAAAAUUGGACUAGAGUUUCCUAGUUCUUUUUUGGGUUCUUUGUUACCUCAUUUUGAGAUCAGCUCUGUAAUAGAUUUUCCAAUGUAGUUCUUUUGAGAACCCUGCUGGGGACUGCAGUCCCGAACUCGAGGAAGGGAGAGAGAUUUGUACACAUGUCAAUGAGCCAAGAUGCAUUUUCAAUUCCAGGCAUGCAUUAUUCAAGGACUUAUUCUCUUUGACUUCUGCGUGGGCUACAUUAAAUAAGCUAUCAUUUGAACAUAAAUAGCACCAUUUUUUGAAUUAUGAAUUAUAUAGGCCAUGUGUCUAUUUUCUUUGAUAUUCCUCACUUCGUGGACUUUCCCAAGUCUUUGUUGUAAAUUUCUAGUACUUAUGAUAUAUUGCUCAAGCUCUAGUGUUAUUUGCAAAACCUAUGGUUUCUAUUGGGGAACUGGGAAACUCAUCAUGUUCAUAUGAUAUAUUGAUUUUCUUGGUUUACAUAUAAUUCGAUUGAGAUUCUUGAUUGCUGGUGUACUAUUUACAUAAUGAGUUUAUAGAGGAACCAUUUCCAACUGUUGAUUUAAUUUAUUCCUUCCUAGUCAUCUCAAGGUUGUAGUUGAUGAGAAACUUAUCAUUAACGAUGAUAGUCUAGUUUGGCCUUUUAUGUUAAUAAUAUGUUUUCCACUAUCCUAAAUUCAUAGUUCUACAUAUAGAAAUGAGUAGAUCUGGAAAACUUUCUUAUCCAAAAUAAUUUAGAUAAGGGGAAAUGAAUUUUACAUUAGUGGCUACUUUUUGUUUUAAUUUCUACAAGUUUUGUUUAGUUAUUUAUGAAUUUUUGAAUAAUUGUUAGUGUGCCUACAAAUCAUUCAUUAGAGGUGAUGGAGGUCUUGGAGCACAACUACUCAAGGUUCAAGAUGAUACAACCAUUUGAGUGUCUAUAGUCUUGCAGCAUUUGGCUCUUUAUUCAUUGGAAACGGGGCCUAAGUGGGUUAGAAACCCACUCAAAUUGGAAGGUCAUAGCCUUGAUGGUGUUUGAAUUUGUCUUCAAACUUAUCUAUUAGAUUAUUUUAUGGAGAACUCACUCCAAUAGCCUUCAGUUAAAUCUCCAACACACCCUGUGACACUUUACUCUUACCACCUAAAGUCAUGUCUUGGACAUACUUGGCACCAAUCCUUAAUUGGUUUGAUGCCCAAGGUUAGGUCUGUAUUCACUCUAGUACUCCAAACCUCCCAAGACCCUAAAUAGCUGAGACCAACAUUAGCUUAUGGUCCUUUUAGACAACAAGAAAAAGACUAGGUGAAUAGCUGAAAUGGAUUAGAAAUUAUUCAUUUCUAUCCUUUAUAGUAAUCUAUGAACCCACAACCCACUUCAACCUAAAACCCCAUACUUUAAAUAAUCAAGUUGGAGUAAACAAAACAAACCCAAGUGCAUUCAUAUCUCCCUUUUUUGGAUCAAUAUCAAUGAUUGAAAAAGCAAUGUGGUAUUAUGGUAGAGUAGCAAUAUUAUGGAGCUUAUGGGGAGAAAGGAAUCCAAGAAUUUUUGAAAUUUAGAGGCUAACAUGUCCCAUUAUAUAUGGUAGAAACCUCUCAUUGGGUGUUGUCUAGCGGAUGAAUUGUAGAGAAGAUGCAGAUAAUGGUGGGAUAUUCAUAAAAAAAAAAAAAAGAUGUAUAUGAUGAAUGGAUGGCACCUAAACAGGAAAUAUUAAAAGUAAAACUUUGGGUAGUUUAUCUCCCUGGGAAAAUACCAAUACAAGAUGUGGUACAAUGAUGAUGUGAACAUAGGUAUUGAACAUAUGGUCAGUCUAGAGGCUGCCCUAUUUAAUGGAAGGCUUGAAUCAGUCUAUGCACUUCCAUAUUGCAAAAUAAGGUUGAUCAUGUUGGAUCAGACCCAACCCUUGUUUUUUCUUUCCUUUUCACAAAGUGAUUGCUCUCAGACUUGAACAUGUGUUCUCAUGUUUGUCAGCCUGAGUUUUUACCAUUACACUAGGCAAUUACCGGUAUGAACUUGAUAAGUACUUUGUCUUCUAGAAGAAUCCAUGCAACCUAGUUGAUUUUUUGCAGUAUAGCUGUUAAAACUGUGUAUGAAACUUGGUCUCGAGUCAACAUGUGUACUUUAUUUGGUCAUUAAGUUUUUGUUCUUGGGUUUCUUAUAGACAGACUCUAAGACGUGUUUGAGGUCUUUA